rnacentral:rRNA from 1 species
AUUGAACGCUGGCGGCAGGCCUAACACAUGCAAGUCGAGCGGAUGACAGGAGCUUGCUCCUUGAUUCAGCGGCGGACGGGUGAGUAAUGCCUAGGAAUCUGCCUGGUAGUGGGGGACAACGUUUCGAAAGGAACGCUAAUACCGCAUACGUCCUACGGGAGAAAGCAGGGGACCUUCGGGCCUUGCGCUGUCAGAUGAGCCUAGGUCGGAUUAGCUAGUUGGUGGGGUAAUGGCUCACCAAGGCGACGAUCCGUAACUGGUCUGAGAGGAUGAUCAGUCACACUGGAACUGAGACACGGUCCAGACUCCUACGGGAGGCAGCAGUGGGGAAUAUUGGACAAUGGGCGAAAGCCUGAUCCAGCCAUGCCGCGUGUGUGAAGAAGGUCUUCGGAUUGUAAAGCACUUUAAGUUGGGAGGAAGGGCAGUAAGCUAAUACCUUGCUGUUUUGACGUUACCGACAGAAUAAGCACCGGCUAACUCUGUGCCAGCCGCCGCAGUAA